rnacentral:misc_RNA from 1 species
GAUGAAGAACGCAGCGAAAUGCGAUACGUAAUGUGAAUUGCAAAUUCAGUGAAUCAUCGAGUCUUUGAACGCACAUUGCGCCCCCUGGUAUUCCGGGGGGCAUGCCUGUCCGAGCGUCAUUGCUGCCCUCAAGCACGGCCUGUGUGUUGGGCCCCGUCCUCCGAUCCCGGGGGACGGGCCCGAAAGGCAGCGGCGGCACCGCGUCCGGUCCUCGAGCGUAUGGGGCUUUGUCACCCGCUCUGUAGGCCCGGCCGGCGCUUGCCGAUCAACCCAAAUUUUUUAUCCAGGUUGACCUCGGAUCAGGUAGGGAUACCCGCUGAACUUAAGCAUAUCAAUAAGCGAGGA